GGAGUCUGGGCCGUGUCUCAGUCCCAAUGUGGCCGUCCGCCCUCUCAGGUCGGCUACUGAUCGUCACCUUGGUGGGCCGUUACCUCACCAACUAGUUAAUCAGACGCAGGCCCAUCCUUAGCCGAUAAAUCUUUGGCUGAAAAGACAUGUGACUCUUCAGCAUUAUGAGGUUUUAAUCAUCGUUUCCAAUGGCUAUCCCUCUGCUAAGGGCAGGUUGCCUACGCGUUACUCACCCGUCCGCCGCUUUCCUCUGAUUCUCUUUGACGAAUCUCAGAUCAUCAGAUUCUCGCUCGACUUGCAUGUAUUAGGCACGCCGCCAGCGUUCAUC
rnacentral:rRNA from 1 species